AUAAGCAAUAUACAAUACUGUCUGGAACAUUUUAAAACUUUAUAUAUAGCCUUUCCCAUGUUCAUUUUUUCACUCAACAUAACGUUGAGAUUUAGCCACAGGUUGACACAUAUAACUAUGGUUCAUUCAUAUUUUCCAUCACAUAAAAUUUACUUAAUCAUUCCCCUGUUUAACAAUUAGAUAUUUUUCCAUAGUUGUAUUAUGAACAAUGCUGCCAUCACUGUCUUGUCCCAAUCUUCUUGUAUGCACAUGCAACACUUUCUCUAAAUUCCACAUCAUCGCCCUGUAC
rnacentral:lncRNA from 1 species